rnacentral:rRNA from 1 species
CAGUCGCCGCGGUAAUACGGAGGGUGCAAGCGUUAAUCGGAAUUACUGGGCGUAAAGCGCACGCAGGCGGUCUGACAAGUCAGAUGUGAAAUCCCCGGGCUUAACCUGGGAACUGCAUUUGAAACUGUCAGGCUGGAGUCUUGUAGAGGGGGGUAGAAUUCCAGGUGUAGCGGUGAAAUGCGUAGAGAUCUGGAGGAAUACCGGUGGCGAAGGCGGCCCCCUGGACAAAGACUGACGCUCAGGUGCGAAAGCGUGGGGAGCAAACAGGAUUAGAUACCCGCGUAGUCCCUGUCUCUUAUAC